rnacentral:misc_RNA from 1 species
GAUGAAGAACGAAGCGAAAUGCGAUAAGUAAUGUGAAUUGCAGAAUUCAGUGAAUCAUCGAAUCUUUGAACGCACAUUGCGCCCGCCAGUAUUCUGGCGGGCAUGCCUGUUCGAGCGUCAUUUCAACCAUCAAGCCCCCGGCUUGUGUUGGGGACCUGCGGCUGCCGCAGGCCCUGAAAAGCAGUGGCGGGCUCGCUGUCACACCGAGCGUAGUAGCAUACAUCUCGCUCUGGGCGUGCUGCGGGUUCCGGCCGUUAAACCACCUUCAUAACCCAAGGUUGACCUCGGAUCAGGUAGGAAGACCCGCUGAACUUAAGCAUAUCAAUAAGCGGAGGU